rnacentral:misc_RNA from 1 species
GAAUUAUUAUUGAUUAUGAUUAACACUAAUAAUCAAAUGCAUAAUCAUUUCUCCGAUAAUGCUCAGAGCGAUUAAAUUAACUUAAACCAUCAAAGCUUUAGGACAAGAAUUCGAACUUACAAGUUAAUGACACGACAAUAGCAUGUCCCAGUUCCAUCAUACAAAAUUAACAGACCAGGCUUUCAAUCUGACGACUUUGUAAGGCGGAGGAUGAGUUCGUAAUUUGCAGCAAGUGCUCAAAAAUCGAAUCAGAUUGAUGCAUUUAGCAGAGAAAGUGGUGACAAAGUGUCUUGGGUUUUUGGUUUGAAUGCAGAUUCCAGGAGCAGCUAAUUACCGGCGGCGGGUGAAAAUGUUUAGUAAAACGGUUACCUUGCUUUUGUGACGUUGGCAGAGAACCUAACAACAUAUAUAUGUAAAAUGAAGUUGUGGAGUCUCAGGCAAGGGUUGAAUUUGGGUUUCACCUGAAAUUCUAGUAUCUGAUUUCCCUGCGGUCUGUGGAUUAGAAGGUAACUGGCAGCCGACUCUUUCCUUGAAUCUCGAUGCAGAAGCUGUAUCUUGUACCUGUAGGUAUGUUAUAAGAGCUGAUUGAGGGACCCAUACCGAAAUCUCCGGUAAACCUAAGGACCCACUUCCUUUCAUGGUGGGUGGGGCGGCGCCACAUUCAGCUUGGCCACCCUAAAUGUGGAAAUUGAAAUG